CCUACGGGUGGCAGCAGUAGGGAAUUUUUCACAAUGGGCGAAAGCCUGAUGGAGCAACGCCGCGUGCAGGAUGAAGGCCUUCGGGUUGUAAACUGCUUUUAUAAGCGAGAAAUAUGAUGGUAACUUAUGAAUAAGGAUCGGCUAACUACGUGCCAGCAGCCGCGGUCAUACGUAGGAUCCGAGCAUUAUCCGGAGUGACUGGGUGUAAAGAGUUGCGUAGGUGAGAUAAUAAGUAGCUAGUGAAAUCUGGUGGCUCAACCAUUCAGACUAUUAGCUAAACUGUUAAGCUCGAGACCGUUAGGGGUAACUGGAAUUUCUAGUGUAGGAGUGAAAUCCGUAGAUAUUAGAAGGAACACCAAUAGCGUAGGCAGGUUGCUGGGACGGUUCUGACACUAAGGCACGAAAGCGUAGGGAGCAAACGGGAUUAGAUACCCCUGUAGUC
rnacentral:rRNA from 1 species